rnacentral:rRNA from 1 species
AUUGAACGCUGGCGGCAGGCCUAACACAUGCAAGUCGAGCGGUAGCACAGAAGAGCUUGCUCUUCGGGUGACGAGCGGCGGACGGGUGAGUAAUGUCUGGGAAACUGCCUGAUGGAGGGGGAUAACUACUGGAAACGGUAGCUAAUACCGCAUAACGUCGCAAGACCAAAGUGGGGGACCUUCGGGCCUCAUGCCAUCAGAUGUGCCCAGAUGGGAUUAGCUAGUAGGUGAGGUAAUGGCUCACCUAGGCGACGAUCCCUAGCUGGUCUGAGAGGAUGACCAGCCACACUGGAACUGAGACACGGUCCAGACUCCUACGGGAGGCAGCAGUGGGGAAUAUUGCACAAUGGGCGCAAGCCUGAUGCAGCCAUGCCGCGUGUAUGAAGAAGGCCUUCGGGUUGUAAAGUACUUUCAGCGAGGAGGAAGGCAUUAAGGUUAAUAACCUUGGUGAUUGACGUUACUCGCA